AGGGUUUCGAAGCAGUUAGAGAAGAUAAGUAAGCAAAGGCGUUAAACUUUAAAGUAGUUAAAAUUUAAUGUAAAUUUGAAAUCAGGAUAACAUUUUAGGAUUCUUCUUUUUUUUUAAAAUAUAAACGCGUGAUAUUCGGACAGAGAAUAAUUCAGUUUUAAAAACAAAGAAGCGCAAAAGGUGAAAACCGAAACCACGAAGUCAUAAGUAUUGUUUGAAAAUCAAAAUUAUUAAAACAUACAAUUUACAUUAAAAUUACAAACAUCAAGUAAAACUAAACGCUGAAGUAGGUCACAGUGUAACUUGUGAUUUUGUGUGUUUGUGUCAUUUGUUAAUUCAACAUGAUCAUGUGCAAUUCCAAGAGGUGGUUUGUUGUGUUCAGUUGUCUGUCAGUUGUUCAGUUGUCCCAUACCAGUUACUGUAUACAUGAUGAAUUGCAUAACAAUAUCCAUCUGAUCCCAAGAACAAAGCUCUUGUAUCCGUCAAGGACUAGAGUAUCUAAAAGAGAUACUACAAACCAAUAUCAGCCAAUCAGAAUUCAUCUUCACCAUAGAAAACUUGCUAGCGAUUUGUCUCCCACGGGGAAAACCAAUCUUUUGUCUGUCAUGAGAAAAGCUGUUCAAAGAAUACAACAUCUUCUUUUAGUGGUUCCAGUUCAAGGACCAUUAUUGCUGCAACGGAACAAAGCUUGUGGAAGUAAGUGGACAAGUGGACCAAACCGAAACAA